UUUCCGUAGGUGAACCUGCGGAAGGAUCAUUCAUAAUAAAGUGUUUUAUGGCACUUUUUAAAAAUCCAUAUCCACCUUGUGUGCAAUGUUAGAUCUCGUCAAUCUUGGCGAGAUUUUUAUACAUCAACUCAUUCUUUAACUAAUUUGUCUGAAAAAUAUUAUGAAUACUUAAUUCAAAAUACAACUUUCAACAACGGAUCUCUUGGCUCUCGCAUCGCUGAAGAACGCAGC
rnacentral:misc_RNA from 1 species